rnacentral:tRNA from 1 species
AGCGUUCUUAGCUUAAUGGAUAGAGCGGUAGUUUUCGAAACUAUUGAUUAAAGGUUCAACUCCUUUAGAAUGCUG